GUACAACAUGUAGAAGAGUUUACAUUUCUUAAUAACAUAACACUUAUCACAUCACAACAUAAAACAUACUAUUCAUUUUAUUAAGAUUUCGCAGCGGACAACAAGCACAAAUAUUAUCGUUCAUCUUAGUCAUCAUAAACAACUUAAAUAGUAAUCAAUUAGCUAUCGAAUCCCAUAAUUCCCGGUGUCACAUGACCAGAGCAUUUGACUCGACUCUGUAGAAUAACUCUACACUUAU
rnacentral:lncRNA from 1 species